rnacentral:lncRNA from 1 species
UUUAAAUUUAUUCUUAUUUGUACGGCUAGCUAUCGAAAGCGAACAGAACAUUUUAAUCUGAAUUCUGCUUGAUCGGCUGCGGCAAAAUUAAUUCAAUCGAAACUAGUUAAUAGCUGACUCAUUUGGUACAUCUACUAUUGUUCACACCAGCACCAACUUGAAUCGUACCAACAGCGAACCCCUACAAAGUUCUGG